GCUUCCCCACUGUCCUGGCACCGUGGACCGCUGCUGGCCGCUUCUGGAGCGCAACGUGAUGUCAAAACAGGUAGGGACUAUUAGUUUUUACUGGCCGGCCACCAGGGUCCCUGGGUGCUGAGCAAGGCGACCCAGCACUGGGCCAUGACC